GAGAAGUAGUGUGCUUCUGGGCCU
rnacentral:misc_RNA from 1 species